UACAGAGGGGGCAAGCGUUAUUCGGAAUUAUUGGGCGUAAAGGGCUCGUAGGCGGUUUGUCGCGUCGGGAGUGAAAACCUCGGGCUUAACUCGGGGCUUGCUUUCGAUACGGGCAGACUGGAGGUAUGCAGGGGAGAACGGAAUUCCUGGUGUAGCGGUGAAAUGCGCAGAUAUCAGGAGGAACACCGGUGGCGAAGGCGGUUCUCUGGGCAUGACCUGACGCUGAGGAGCGAAAGUGUGGGGAGCGAACAGG
rnacentral:rRNA from 1 species